rnacentral:tRNA from 1 species
GCCGUAACUUGCGAAAUGGCAAAAGGCGCAAGCCAUUGAUUUAAUUGCAUUCUUACAAAACAGUUCUGACUUGUAAUCAGGGGGUCGCGAGUUCGAUUCCUGCCGCCGGCACCA